AUUGAACGCUGGCGGCAGGCCUAACACAUGCAAGUCGAGCGGAGCGGUGGACGGGUGAGUAAUGCCUAGGAAUCUGCCUGGUAGCGGGGGAUAACGUCCGAAAACGGGCGCUAAUACCGCAUACUAUCCGUCGAGCCUAGGUCGGAUUAGCUAGUGGGUGGGGUAAAGGCCUACCAAGGUGACGAUCCGUAGCUGGUCUGAGAGGAUGAACAGUCACACUGGAACGGAGACACGGUCCAGACUCCUACGGUAGGCAGCAGUGGGGAAUAUUGGACAAUGGGCGAAGUCCUGAUCCAGCCAGGCCGCGUGUGUGAAGAAGGUCUUCGGAUUGUAAACCACUUUAAGUUGGGAGGCGUUACCAGCAGAAUAAGCACCGGCUAACUUCGUGCCAGCAGCCGCGGUAAUUC
rnacentral:rRNA from 1 species